UCUACCCUUCUUUUUGGUGACACCACCCAGUCUGCUCUAAUCCUUCCUCUACUCCCUUUCUUUCAUUCACAAUGACAACAUACUAAUCCAUACUCUCCCUCUCCCUCUUUUUACUAGAUCACCAUAUCUACUCUUGACCUCCACUUGUAUAGCCUCCGUUGUCUGAAACAAGAUUGAUAUCCUUCACAAGAUGUUGUUCAAUAUUGAUUAUUGCAAGUACUAGCCAUAGAUUUCUAUAACU
rnacentral:lncRNA from 1 species